UUGAUUCAGCAGAAGACACUGUAGAGACAGCAGAGUUUUGUGUACAACUUCUUUAUCUCUAUGGAAACCACACAAAUGACCUUGACUUUUGUAAUGGUAACAGGAUAGGUGCAUAUGCACUAGAACUAUGCCAGAUAUACCAGGAGAAGAAUCUGGACAGCUACUCUGUCAUCUCAGCUGUCCUGCAUGUCUGUAGACACAUGCCCAAUUUUUUGUCAACAGAUGAAAACAUUGCUACACUGGGACAGACCAUUCCAUUAGCUAGCCAGAUGAUAAUAUCUUAUUUUUGAAGAUAGUAAAAUUUGCUUUGAAAAAUGGACAUUGUGCAAUAUCUCCUCUCUCUGCUGGACUGAUUUCCUUGGCAACAAUUCAUGUCAUAGCAACCCAACAGACUGUCGCCACAGCUACACAAAAGAUCCUGACAUCACUGGCUUCGGAGGUCAUGGCAAUGCUGGAAGAAUACAAAGUGGAUUC